ACGGGAGGCAGCAGUGGGGAAUAUUGCACAAUGGGCGCAAGCCUGAUGCAGCGAUGCCGCGUGAGGGAAGAAGGUUUUCGGAUUGUAAACCUCUGUCUUCGGGGACGAUAAUGACUGUACCCGAGAAGGAAGCUCCGGCUCACUACGUGCCAGCAGCCGCGGUAAUACGUAGGGAGCGAGCGUUAUCCGGAAUUACUGGGUGUAAAGGGAGUGUAGGCGGGACUGUAAGUCAGAUGUGAAAUAUACCGGCUCAACUGGUAGACUGCAUUUGAAACUGCGGUGCUUGAGUGAAGUAGAGGUAAGCGGAAUUCCUGGUGUAGCGGUGAAAUGCGUAGAUAUCAGGAGGAACACCGGUGGCGAAGGCGGCUUACUGGGCUUUUACUGACGCUGAGGCUCGAAAGCGUGGGGAGCAAACAGGAUUAGAUACCCUGGUA
rnacentral:rRNA from 1 species